rnacentral:rRNA from 1 species
UGGGUGGCGAGUGGCGAACGGGUGAGUAACGCGUAGGAAUAUACCUUGAAGAGGGGGAUAACAUGGGGAAACUCAUGCUAAUACCGCAUAAUAUCUAAGGAUGAAAGCUGGGGACCUUUGGGCCUGGCGCUUUAAGAUUAGCCUGCGUCCGAUUAGCUAGUUGGUGGGGUAAGGGCCUACCAAGGCGACGAUCGGUAGCUGGUCUGAGAGGAUGGCCAGCCACACUGGGACUGAGACACGGCCCAGACUCC